GUAUGAGGCGCCCUCAGGUUCUGCUCACUAGGAACCCACUAACGUAAAAACACCCACUGCGACGCUUAGAUCAUUUAUGCUUGCCUUGGAUCAAGACAAAUAUAGCAUUGGGCACAUCUCAGCUGCUCAUUAACACAACCCCCCCACCCACCCACACACACACAAUAUUCCUCCUCCUUUAACGCAGUGUAUUACAUCCAUCUCCUUGUUGAGGAACCGGGGGGGGGGGGGGUUAAGAUGCCACAGAGCCCCCUUGGCUCCCCUACUUCACACUGUCAGACCACAGCCAAUAAGCAGCUUCAGAAGAUCAAGUAUCACUAUAACACAAGGACUUAUCCGUUGAGGGGAGUUUGCGGAGCCCUCAUAGCCCAUCUCUGCAUCAUCCGAGAGUCGCUAUCAGUUCCUUCAACUCUUCUGAGGUGCAAGUCCACUGUCACCAUGUCUGACACUGAGGAAGUUGAUCAGAUUGAGGAAGAUGAGGAAGCCGAAGAAGAGGUAGUGGAAGUAGAAGUAGCCCCAGAGGUGGUAGAGGAGGAGGAGGAAGUGGUAGAGGAAGAGGCAGAACCCGAGCCAGAGGAGGAGGUGCAUGAGGAAGGUAUGUAGCAUGGGGUAUUUAUUCAUCCUUCCCAUGUGUAACCGCACCUGUGUCCCAGCAGAGGUAGCUUAGCCCCACUAAUAUAGUUCAGUACCGCUUGUCCCCUGAAACCCUAAAGCGCUGUUGUAAACUGUUUAGCUACUGGAGGAACCUCUUCUUCAUAACGGUCUACUAUGAAGAAAUGUAAUGAUCUAUGUACUGUAUGCGUAGUCUGUUUGAUGGAAACCGUUACUCCUUUUUGACAAUUAGAAUUUUUAAAUACGUUUACUGAAAGCUGCCACUUAACGUAAUCUGAAAUGGUAAUGCUUCGGGGACAAAGGCUGCGGGGCUUGGGGACAAAGUGAAACAACUACAUCAAAGUCUCUGAGCGAAUGACGUAACUGAUUGAAAUGCUACGUGUGCUGACCGUAGCACCGACUAGCCGUUUCUCACCCGUUAUUAAAGAUAAAGAAAGAAUACUGUUGUUCUGUCAAAGUGCCUUUUUUGGAAUUAAGAGGUUUCAUCAAACAACACAUACAUGGACAUGACAUGUGCGUUCCCAAAGCACCCCUCUUCCUUACGAAGUGGCUUUAGCGACUUCGUUUUGAACUGCUAACUUGAACGAUACCAAAUAUAACCCUAAGGCGCAAACCCCCUGUGGCCACCUCUGAGGAUUUAAUAAAAACAUGGCAAUAUCUCUACCUUCUAUAAGAGGCUUUUUUUUUAGACAAAUAGCUGAUAUUUAUCCAAUUCUCUCAGAUCUCCACAAGAGGCUAGGCGUCCUACCUGAUGUGAUAGGUAGAUUUGGGAUUAUAGCUUUGUGCUGACAGAGUAGUGGCUACUCAGAAACCUUUUGUGCUUGUAGGUUAAUAGCUACUCGGGCUGAUGCAAAGCUAACCAACCCAAAUCAGCUAACUGCUAUUUUCCAAACAGACAAUCUCACCUCACCCCAAGCUGUGCUAACAAUGCUUCUCCCAGAAUGCAACCGGAGAAAACAUGACGAGCACUUUUAGCGCUCAGAACUUUCUGCAUAUGUUGGGAAUGUUGAAGAACCUAACUGUUUCUUUAUAUAGAAACAAAGUUGUCCAUAAAUCCUGUCUGUAUUGAAUAUGGCAAAUGUAUGAAUAUGCUCAGUGAGGCAAAGAAAGCUCCCAUAACUAAUGUGAUAUUAGGCUAUAACCUAAUAUGUUUGCAUGGAUCAGGGUCUUGUCAAUCAUACCUGUUCCUUUGGCUCUUUCCUAAUCAUCCCAAUGAAAGUAAGGGUUUUGAGAAAAUCCAUAAUCCCAAUCCAUAAUGAACUAUGUUGUGUUUUACCUUAUAAUAUUACCAUGGAUGAAGCAAGACUUUUCUUCAUGUAAAGAACCUUUCUUCGCCACCUGAGAACUUGUAUAAAACAUAUUCAUCUGUCUGUAAAGUAAUGAUGAUAGUUCUCACAUUGUAGUGUCGUUAUACAUUAUUCAAUAGGGGUGUGUGGUUUAUAACCAAUAUGACAUGGCUGAGGGUAGUCAAUCAGCACAAUGAUAUGUGGAGUGCCAGGGAAUCAUGCUACAACCCUGUUUCUAAAAACGUUAGGACACUGCAUAAAAUGCAAAUAAAAACAGAAUGCAAUGAUGUCCAAAUCAUUUAUCCGUAUAUUUAAUUGAAAAUAGUACAAAGACAACAUAUCAAAUGUUGAAACUGAGAAAUUACUGUUUUUGGAAAAAUACAUGCCCAUUUUGAAUUUGAUGCCAGCAACACAUUUCAAAAAAGUUAAGCCAGGGGUAUUUUUAUUACUGUGAUGUGUCACCUUUUCUUUUAACAAUACCCUGUAACUGUUUGGAAACUGAGGCGACCAAUUGCUGUUGAAAGUGGAAUGUUUUUCCAUUCUUGCUUGAUAUAUAGUAGGAUUUCAGCUGCUCAACAGUUUGGGGUCUCCUUUGUUGGAUUUGUCAUUUCAUAAUGAGACAAAUGUUUUCAGUGGGUGACAGGUCUGGAUUGCAGGCAGGCCAUUUCAGCACCCUGACUCUUUUAAUACAGAGCUAUACUGUUGUAAUAUAUGCAGAAUGUGGUUUGGCAUGAAAUAAGCUAGGCCUUCCCUGAAAAAUAUUUUAUCUGGUUGGCAGCAUAUGUGGCUCCAAACCUGAAAAUUGUUCAGCAUUUAUGGUGUCUUCACAGAAGUGCAACUCACCCAUGCUAUGCGCACUAAUGCACCCCCACACCAUCAAUACUGGCUUUUGCACUGUGCACUGAUAACAAGCCAAAUGGUCCCUUUUCUCUUUAGCCCGGAGGUUGCAGCAUCUAUGAUUCCCAAAAAUAAUCUCAGAUUUUUAUUUGUCAGACUACAGGACAGUUUUCCACCUCACCUCAGUCUAUCUAAAAUGAGCUUGGGCCCAGAAAGGGUGCCGGCGUUUCUGGAUGUAGUUUAUAUAUGGUUUCUUCUUUGAAUGGUAGAGUUUUAACACAGUGAAACGCACUGUGUUCACAGAAGAUGAUUUUUGGAAGUGUUUCUGAGCCCAUGCUGUGAUUUCCACACAGAAUCGUGUCUGUUUUUAAUGCAUUGCUGCUUCAGUACCCAAAGAUCACGGCCAUCAAAUAUUGGUUUUUGGCCUUCUCCUUUGCAUACAGAGAUUACUCCAGAUGAUCUGAAUCUUCUAAUGAUAUUAUCUACUGUAGAUGAUGAGGUCCCCAAACUCUUUGCAAUUCUACAUUGUGAUAUUUUAUUCUUGAAUUGUGGCACUAUUUGUCAGCGCAGUCUUUCACAGAGUGGUGAACCCCUUCCCAUCCUCACUUCUGACAGACCCAUCCUCUCUGGAAUUAUCUUUUAAUAACCAAUCAUGUUACUUACCUGUUGCAAAUUGACCUAAUUAGUUGUGUGAUAUUCCACCAGGUUUAGUUUUUUAGCAUUAAACAACAUUUCCAGUCUUUUGUUGCCACUGUCCCAACUUUUUUGAAAUGUGUUGCUGGCAUCAAAUUCAAUGUCUCCAUGUAUUUUCCAAGAAACAAUUACAUUUCUCAGUUUCAACAUUUGACAUGUUGUCUUUUCUGAAUAUAGGGUUUAAAUGAUUUUCAUCGUUGCAUUCUGUUUUUCUUACAAUUUAACACAGCAUCCCAACUUUUUUGGAAACAGUGUUGUACAGUGGUCAAACAGAAAAAAGCCUUAUUGUGAUUAUAAACCAGUAACCAAUGUCAUUAGAACACCAAAAACCUAUGUUUGUGUCAUACUCACGCAAUACCAUCUGAUGUAACAUGGCUUUCAGCCAAUGAGCACGCAGGGUUGGAUUCACCCAGUUUACAUUAGCAGUGUAUGUUUAUUAUAAUACACGUUCUGGAAUUUCCUUAAACUGCAAUGUUUUCCCCACAUCUAUUUUCAUGUAUAAUGUAUUGUACCGUAUAUGACCGCAAACACCUCAAUUUGGCUGAAUGAAUGCUCUGCAAACUUGUGCAUUGUGAAAUGAACAUGCGGCGAAUGUGCUAGUCGUCGCCAGGGUUGAACAAUUACGGGAACCUUCGCAAACUACCCAGGAUGGUCAAAAAUCCCUUUCGAGGAUUUUCUGGAAGUUUCCGGAGUUUUCCAACCCCAGCAGGCACUGAUGGCUUGUCCUUGGCCUGUGUAUUCGUAACUAAUAAUGGUAUCUGUUCUGCUCCUGCUUUGGACGCUUGCUGCAUGCAGAGGCCUAUGAGGAAGAAGGUAUGUGUAACCUCAUUCUUAAACUGUAUCCGUACUUCUGAGUGAACUGAUGGAGACCGUGUCAGUCUACUGACUCAAGUUUGGGCGUUUGGUCUCGCUGGGCUCGAGCAAGACCUCCCCACGUGUCCAUGUGCUCCAGCAACAAAAUACUGCUCACACCUUGUCUCCUGCAAAGAAAAACAUGUAUAUAUAUAUAUAAUUCCCCCAUCCUCCUGACAGUCAGAGUAAUCUCAAAACCAAGAAAUGGAUUUUGCUUGAAUAGUUUGUCACAAGAGGCUGUGUGAAGAAGGGUGUUGGGACAGAAAAUAAUGUAGUGACUUCCCUGUUCAUGUCCCCCUUUGCUUUUUUUCUUUCUGCACGACUUUCUGGCAAACCAGUGGAAGAGGGAGAACAAGAUGGUAUUUUGUAUUUCUUUCUCUAGAAGGAUAGUGCUAAUGCUUUGCCUGGGUUUUUUGUACCUUUCUGAGUGUGAGGGUCAAGCCAAAAAGCUAAUCACAAAUUACAAGAUAUUUUGGUACUUAUUGACAAUGGUCUGUAAUGUUUGACUUAAUAAUGUCUUUCUGCCCCACAAUUUCCAACGUUACAUUUGGAAUACAAUUAACAUGUUUCAUCCAAGUUCUGAAUUCAGUCUUGGAUUGUGGAGUGUAUAUCUGACAAUUAAGUGGUGAGCAAUUCCCUAUAUAGGUAUUAGAAUAUAAUUAAACCGGGAUAAUUAUAUUUAUAAGCAGAUUCCAUGUCUGUUUUUCUAGGUGUUCAAUUGUACACAAUCGUUCCACUAACACACACCAAAUUAACAUAGUGAAUUUGAAAGUUAGACCUUAACUUGCCCAUUGUAAUUACAACGGUUAACUUGCUCAUUAUAAUAAUAAUUUGUAAAUUGUUUUAUCAGCCCACACGGAUGUCCCCUUGAUUAACAGAGCACCCAUUUUGGCUUGUUGCCUGAGAUCUUUGUCAUGGACUACCCA
ensembl:lncRNA